rnacentral:sRNA from 1 species
CUUUUCCUGUGGCAGCAGCCUGGCUGAGAGGAGCGUGGCUGUCUCCUCUCUCCGUCAUGGCGUGUGCUCGCCCACUAAUAUCGGUGUACUCCGAAAAGGGGGAGUCAUCUGGCAAAAAUGUCACUUUGCCUGCUGUAUUCAAGGCUCCUAUUCGACCAGAUAUUGUGAACUUUGUUCACACCAACUUGCGCAAAAACAACAGACAGCCCUACGCUGUCAGUGAAUUAGCAGGUAUGGAUUUAUACCUUUUGCACAUAUUUUAGGGACUGCUUUACAGUAGUGAUGAAAUUCCACUUCAUUGGUCCGUGUUUCUGAACCACAUGAUUUUCUCGGAUGUUCUGAUGGCUGUUUGCUACCAUGCGUAAUAGUCAUGGGUUGAUAUGUAUGAUGAAGCAGCUACAAUUUUUAUCUCUUCUCAAUUUUAGGUCAUCAGACCAGUGCUGAGUCUUGGGGUACUGGCAGAGCUGUGGCUCGAAUUCCCAGAGUUCGAGGUGGUGGGACUCACCGCUCUGGCCAGGGUGCUUUUGGAAACAUGUGUCGUGGAGGCCGAAUGUUUGCACCAACCAAAACCUGGCGCCGUU